AAGGAUCAUUACAGUAUUCUUCUAAGCUGGAGUUGUGGACUGGUUAGUUGCUUUGCCUGCGCUGCUGAAAUAUUGCGUGCGCGGUGAGAGACUGAUUUGGUCGCAGUUCUAUUCAAGGCUUAGAAAUCUCCUUACACACUUUGUUUUCUUAUUAGAGACAAAUUUGCUUUGGUCAGUGGUUGUGUAAAAGCGACAUGUCUGGCCAGAGGUUUUAACAAAACUCUUUUUCGUUUUCCCUUGGGAAGAUUGAAAACUUGAUAUUUAUAAUUUGUCAGAUUUAAGGAGUUGCGCAGCAGCUUUUCUAAAAUUUAAAACUUUCAACAACGGAUCUCUUGGUUCUCGCAUCGAUGAAGAACGCAGCGAAAUGCGAUAAGUAAUGUGAAUUGCAGAUUUUCGUGAAUCAUUGAAUCUUUGAACGCACAUUGCGCCCUCUGGUAUUCCAGAGGGCAUGCCUGUUUGAGCGUCAUUUCCUUCUCAAACCCUAGGGUUUGGUGAUGGGCAAUACUCUUGUACGAGAGUUUGCUUGAAAUGAAUUGGCAUGAGUUUUUGAUAUGAACUUCAGCUGUUUAUUCAAUGUAUUAGGUUUUAUCCAUCGUUGAUUGACAACUGCUAGCUUCUUUCGAAAUUUGGCUCUGCCUUACAAACUUUUAUCAUAAAGUUUGACCUCAAAUCAGGUAGGAUUACCCGCUGAACUUAAGCAUAUCAAUAAGCGGAGGAAAAGAAACCAACAGGGAUUGCCUUAGUAGCGGCGAGUGAAGCGGCAAGAGCUCAAAUUUGAAAUCUGGUAUCUUCGAUGCCCGAGUUGUAAUUUGAAGAAAGCUAUCUUGGAUUUGGCCUUUGUCUAUGUUCCUUGGAACAGGACGUCAUAGAGGGUGAGAAUCCCGUCUGAUGAGGUGUCCAUUUCUAUGUAAGAUGCUUUCGAAGAGUCGAGUUGUUUGGGAAUGCAGCUCAAAGUGGGUGGUAAAUUCCAUCUAAAGCUAAAUAUUGGCGAGAGACCGAUAGCGAACAAGUACUGUGAAGGAAAGAUGAAAAGAACUUUGAAAAGAGAGUGAAAAAGUACGUGAAAUUGUUGAAAGGGAAGGGUAUUUGAUCAGACUUGGUAUUUAGUUAUCAUUGCUCCUUGUGGGUGGUGCUCUAGCUUUUUACUGGGCCAGCAUCAGUUUUGGUGGCAAGAUAAUGACAGUUGAAUGUGGCUCCUUCUGGAGUGUUAUAGCUU
rnacentral:sRNA from 1 species